CCCUGGUAGUACACGCCGUAAAUCGAAGUCUACUAGUCGUUGGGUCCCUUGAGGACUUAGUGACGCAGCUAACGCAAUAAGUAGACCGCCUGGGGAGUACGGCCGCAAGGUUAAAACUCAAAUGAAAUUGACGGGGGCCCGCACAAAGCGGUGGAGCAUGUGGUUUAAUUCGAUGCAACGCGAAGAACCUUACCUGGUCUUGACAUAUAUAGAAUCCUGCAGAGAUGCGGGAGUGCCUUCGGGAAUUAGAAUACAGGUGCUGCAUGGCUGUAGUCAGCUCGUGUCGUGAGAUGUUGGGUUAAGUCCCGCAACGAGCGCAACCCUUGUCCUUAGUUACCAGCGGGUUAAGCCGGGAACUCUAAGGAUACUGCCAGUGACAAACUGGAGGAAGGCGGGGACGACGUCAAGUCAUCAUGGCCCUUACGACCAGGGCUACACACGUGCUACAAUGGUAGGUACAGAGGGCAGCUACACAGCGAUGUGAUGCGAAUCUCAAAAAGCCUAUCGUAGUCCAGAUUGGAGUCUGCAACUCGACUCCAUGAAGUAGGAAUCGCUAGUAAUCGCGGAUCAGAAUGCCGCGGUGAAUACGUUCCCGGGCCUUGUACAUCACCCUUUAAAGGCACCAUGGGAGUUGAUUGCACCAGAAGUGGAUAGCUUAAACC
rnacentral:rRNA from 1 species